CAAAGUGGGAACAAAAGCAUUAAUGUACACUGGGUUUUAUUUCUGGCUGUUCUGCCCACAGUUUCGGUCAUAUGUUUGGAGAAUUAUUAGAUGCUGUGCUGCACAGCUCCAGCCUCAGCCCAGUGAUUUCUUACUUAUUUCUGUUCUGUGAUUUAAGAGCAAAAGUGACAACCAAAGUCCCUUUCUACACAGCUGAGAAUCAGAACAGGCUGGCAAGGAGUUUCCAGUGUGAAAUAAUUUAGUAUCAUAUCCUCUGUCCAGGGAGAGAGUUUGUUAUUUUUUACAAACCUGAAGACAGGAGGUCUCUUCUGGCCAUAGGGACAUUCAGUCACAGUCUUUGAAGAACAUAUGUGACAAAGGGCUGGUGCUGAUGGCAGUCAAUAUCAGAUUGCUUCAGACCCUCAGCACCCAGUCUGGACAUCACUGCCGCACUGUAUUUGAUUCAUGAGAGCAAAAUCUUCUGCAAAAUCUUCUAAGGCCACAUACUUAAAUAAACAAGCAAAUAAAUAAAUAAAAAGGAGGAGGGGACAUUAUAAAGUGUCACAGAGAUGCUAGAAGUGUCAAGACUGGAAGGACUUUAAGUAAUCCCUGAACCUGCUGCGAUAAAUACUAAUACUCUCUAGCUUCAUACAAUUUAUCUCCACGUGCUCAGUCCUCAUACACAAAAUGUUUUUUAUAACAGAAUGUACCAAUGUUUGUCUUGCACCAAACACAAUCAUCUACCUGGUUAAAAUUAUGUUUGAGAUAAAACUGUGAUUCUCCUUCCCUGUAAAUUGUUAUAAAAUGUGCUGUUAAAUGUUUCAGUGAUAUUAAUAAAUGAUGCUUAAGGCAUUUGCAGAGAAUAAUAAUCCAAUGAUUCUAUGCUGUUAUACUAAUCAUGCAUACUUUUAAUCUCUUCUGCAACUGUAUGUGAGAAAGCAAAAGUAAAUUUCUCAUUUGCUUUGAUCUUCAGUUAGCUUUGUAAUAUUGUCUGUUGAAAUGACAAACACUGAGGAGUCUGAUUACUAUCAUCCUCCAACACUUACACAUCUUGAGUUGGGCUCCCUAAUAUAUUAUAAGAUUAUAGCAAUAACAACCAAAGUAGAAGUGUUGUCUUGAUUCACUUUCAGGAUUUUAGAAUUUAUAGGUCAGAUUUGUUCUUUGUUGUUCUUCUAUUUAACCAUGAAAACUAAAACAUUCAUGUCACCCCUGGAUUCCAGGAACUAGAGCUGUAAAAAAAAAAUAAUAAAAAAAUAAAAAUAAAAUUGACACUGAA